rnacentral:rRNA from 1 species
AUUGAACGCUGGCGGAAUGCUUUACACAUGCAAGUCGAACGGCAGCACGGGGCAACCUGGUGGCGAGUGGCGAACGGGUGAGUAAUACAUCGGAACGUGCCCAAUCGUGGGGGAUAACGUAGCGAAAGUUACGCUAAUACCGCAUACGAUCUACGGAUGAAAGCGGGGGAUCGCAAGACCUCGCGCGAAUGGAGCGGCCGAUGCCAGAUUAGGUAGUUGGUGGGGUAAAGGCUCACCAAGCCAACGAUCUGUAGCUGGUCUGAGAGGACGACCAGCCACACUGGAACUGAGACACGGUCCAGACUCCUACGGGAGGCAGCAGUGGGGAAUUUUGGACAAUGGGCGCAAGCCUGAUCCAGCCAUUCCGCGUGCAGGAUGAAGGCCUUCGGGUUGUAAACUGCUUUUGUACGGAACGAAACGGCGAGCUCUAAUACAGUUUGCUAAUGACGGUACCGUAAGAAUAAGCACCGGCUAACUACGUG